UACGGAGGGUGCAAGCGUUGUUCGGAAUUACUGGGCGUAAAGCGCGUGUAGGCGGCGCCGUAAGUCGGAUGUGAAAGCCCUCGGCUUAACCGAGGAAGUGCAUCCGAUACUGCGGUGCUUGAGUGUCGGAGGGGAUGGCGGAAUUCCCGGUGUAGAGGUGAAAUUCGUAGAUAUCGGGAGGAACACCUGUGGCGAAGGCGGCCAUCUGGACGAUAACUGACGCUGAGACGCGAAAGCGUGGGUAGCAAACAGG
rnacentral:rRNA from 1 species